UACGGGGGGGGCAAGCGUUGUUCGGAAUUACUGGGCGUAAAGGGCUCGUAGGCGGCCAACUAAGUCAUACGUGAAAUCCCUCGGCUUAACCGGGGAACUGCGUCUGAUACUGGAUGGCUUGAGUUCGGGAGAGGGAGUGCGGAAUUCCAGGUGUAGCGGUGAAAUGCGUAGAUAUCUGGAGGAACACCGGUGGCGAAGGCGGCAUCCUGGACCGAUACUGACGCUGAGGAGCGAAAGCCAGGGGAGCAAACGGGG
rnacentral:rRNA from 1 species